rnacentral:rRNA from 1 species
GACGUAGGUGGCGAACGUUAUCCGGAAUUACUGGGCGUAAAGAGCUCGUAGGUGGUUUGUCGCGUUGUCCGUGAAAACUCACAGCUUAACUGUGGGCGUGCGGGCGAUACGGGCAGACGUGGAGUACUGCAGGGGAGACUGGAAUUCCUGGUGUAGCGGUGGAAUGCGCAGAUAUCAGGAGGAACACCGGUGGCGAAGGCGGGUCUCUGGGCAGUAACUGACGCUGAGGAGCGAAAGCGUGGGGAGCGAACAGG